GACGAACGCUGGCGGCGUGCUUAACACAUGCAAGUCGAACGGAAAGGCCCUGCUUUUGUGGGGUGCUCGAGUGGCGAACGGGUGAGUAACACGUGAGUAACCUGCCCUUGACUUUGGGAUAACUUCAGGAAACUGGGGCUAAUACCGGAUAGGAUCUCCUGCUGCAUGGGGGGGGUUGGAAAGUUUCGGCGGUGGGGGAUGGACUCGCAGCUUAUCAGCUUGUUGGUGGGGUAGUGGCUUACCAAGGCUUUGACGGGUAGCCGGCCUGAGAGGGUGACCGGCCACAUUGGGACUGCGAUACGGCCCAGACUCCUACGGGAGGCAGCAGUGGGGAAUAUUGCACAAUGGGCGGAAGCCUGAUGCAGCAACGCCGCGUGCGGGAUGACGGCCUUCGGGUUGUAAACCGCUUUCGACUGUGACGAAGCGUGAGUGACGGUAAUGGGUAAAGAAGCACCGGCUAACUACGUG
rnacentral:rRNA from 1 species